UUCAGAUUCCUGAACUGGAUUUUGAGAUUCCACCAGAGGCCCAACGUGGAAGUUUGUCUACUGUGGAAGGAAUAUUAGCACGAGCUGCCGAUGAACUGAGUGCCCUUCAAGAAGAACGCAAGAAAGUUGAUCCUGAAACUGCUGACGCAAUCGACCAAUUCUUGUCCAAAUUGAGAGCUUGUGCUAAAGCAGAGACACCCUUCACCUUCGUCUUGGACGAUCCUGCUGGAAACAGUUUCGUUGAGAACAAAGAUCGGAGUCCCGCGAGCCUGUACCGCCAAGGCUUGUGCAAGUCGCGGAUUGGGAUUAGGCAGCACUUCUAGGAACCGCAUCCCGCGCGGGCAUAUACCGCCAAGACCCGCAAUGACAAUGUACCGCGGCGGGGCGGGAUAAAACGGGUCGGUACAACCCAAUUGCCAUCUCUAGUUCUGAGAGAAGUUCAGUUGUAACUUGUAAGUCAAUUGCGUAAGACACAUACAUUAAAACGAACACUGAAAUCGAAAUCCAAUUGGGACUGAAGUCAAAGCGGUUCCCUAUAGAUUUUAAAGAUGUUGGAUUUUCAUUUGUUUGUCCUUAAUUAGGUUGCUUUUUUUAAUCGUAAGAAAACAUAGAUCUAAAAAAACAUAGAUCUGAAAACUAAUAUAUUUAUAUUCUUGUUUCAUAUUACUCUCUAAAAAAUUAAUGAAUAAUUUUUGUUAUGUUUUAAGUAACACAAUCAUUUAGAAGAAAAUGUUUGUUUGAGCCCCAUUGCAAGGACCCAAAAAUCAGACCUAACUCAGGUGAGUUCAUUAUUAGCAUGGGUGGUUCUUUUUAUAUCAUGUUAGACUAUUAAAAUAUUUGUUUCCACCUAGUCAUUGAUAUAUACAGGUGGAAAUUUGUUGUGUUUAUUUGGCUGUGUUGAAUUAUUCUGGUCAUUUAGUUGGGCGAUGUCAUGCUUGGAGUAGCUGACUAGCUUGAUUUGGAACAAAAAUUCUCACAUAAACUAGACUGAAAAGGUUCAUUUUGAAAAUAUAUUCGUCUAUGAAUUAAAUUCUCAUAGGGUAGCACUAGAAAUCUGAGAUUGCCACAUAUAAGAAAGGAUGAGAUCUCCUACGGAUGAACCUAAAUUAUAGAACGUGGAUUUCCGAUUUACCUUUUUGGAGUUAUAUUAAUAUAUUAAGUUUAUUAAAAAAAAAUUAGAACGUGAAUUUCAUUAAAAUUCAUGUUUGGUAAAUACAAAAAUACAAGUUGGAACUGCAGAUGUUUGAUUGAAAACAAAGUAUUUCCAAAGGAUCAACAAAUAUACUGGACAAGGAUAAAAUGUAUCGCAUGAGUAAAUAAAGU